rnacentral:rRNA from 1 species
GAUGAACGCUGGCGGCGUGCCUAACACAUGCAAGUCGAACGAAGCACCUUACCUGAUUCUUCGGAUGAAAGUCUGGUGACUGAGUGGCGGACGGGUGAGUAACGCGUGGGUAACCUGCCCUGUACAGGGGGAUAACAGCUGGAAACGGCUGCUAAUACCGCAUAAGCGCACGAGGAGACAUCUCCUUGUGUGAAAAACUCCGGUGGUACAGGAUGGGCCCGCGUCUGAUUAGCUGGUUGGCAGGGUAACGGCCUACCAAGGCAACGAUCAGUAGCCGGUCUGAGAGGAUGAACGGCCACAUUGGAAAUGAGACACGGUCCAAACUCCUACGGGAGGCAGCAGUGGGGAAUAUUGCACAAUGGGGGAAACCCUGAUGCAGCAACGCCGCGUGAGUGAAGAAGUAUUUCGGUAUGUAAAGCUCUAUCAGCAGGGAAGAUAAUGACGGUACCUGACUAAGAAGCUCCGGCUAAAUACGUGCCAGCCGCCGCCGUAA